CCAUGGUCUAAUAGUGUUAUACAUUACACCAACUACAUAUGUGUUAUCUAAAAGGGUGUCAACAAAUGUUAAUAAUGUUGGACACUUUAGUCAAAACUUUAGAAUCAAAAAUCGCAUAGAAAAUUGAUAUAAACUCUUGAAACCAUGUAUCCUGUUUAUAGAAAGGGAAAGCAUGCAAGCAAGAAGAACAAUAUCCCUUUAAAAAAUAGCACCCCC
rnacentral:lncRNA from 1 species